GAUGAACGCUGGCGGUAUGCUUAACACAUGCAAGUCGAACGGACUCUUCGGAGUUAGUGGCGGACGGGUGAGUAACGCGUGAGAAUCUGGCUUUGGGUUCGGGACAACCACUGGAAACGGUGGCUAAUACCGGAUGUGCCGAGAGGUAAAAGAGAAAUUGCCUGAAGAUGAGCUCGCGUCUGAUUAGCUAGUUGGUGAGGUAAAGGCUCACCAAGGCAGCGAUCAGUAGCUGGUCUGAGAGGAUGACCAGCCACACUGGGACUGAGACACGGCCCAGACUCCUACGGGAGGCAGCAGUGGGGAAUUUUCCGCAAUGGGCGAAAGCCUGACAGAGCAAUACCGCGUGAGGGAAGAAGGCUCUGGGGUUGUAAACCUCUUUUCUUAGGGAAGAACAAAAUGACGGUACCUAAGGAAUCAGCAUCGGCUAACUCCGUG
rnacentral:rRNA from 1 species